UGGUAUAUUUACUAACAAACACCUUUUGUAUAGUAGAGUGGUAAAAGAGAUAACCCAUACUCUCUUUAGAAUAACCUACAAAUAAAUAUUUAUCUACCCUAGCACUCAGCUUAUAUCCAAAGUUUCUUUUAACAUAAGCUAGAUAGCUUCAAAUUUUAAGAUACUUAAGAUUAGACUUUUUACCUCUCCAUAUCUUAUAUGAAGUGCUUGGCAC
rnacentral:lncRNA from 1 species